UCUCCGUAGGUGAACCUGCGGAGGGCUCAUUACUGAGUGAGGGCGUCGGUCAGACCUCCAACACUUUGUGAACCAAGCUUGUUGCUUCGGGGGCGACCCUGCCGCUUCGGCGGUGCGGCGCCCCCGGAGGCCAUUAAUCACUGCAUCAUUGCGUCGGAGUUAAAGUAAAUUAAACAAAACUUUCAACAACGGAUCUCUUGGUUCCAGCAUCGAUGAAGAACGCAGC
rnacentral:misc_RNA from 1 species